rnacentral:rRNA from 1 species
ACGAACGCUGGCGGCAUGCCUAACACAUGCAAGUCGAACGAUGCUUUCGGGCAUAGUGGCGCACGGGUGCGUAACGCGUGGGAAUCUACCCUUGGGUUCGGAAUAACUCAGAGAAAUUUGAGCUAAUACCGGAUGAUGACGUAAGUCCAAAGAUUUAUCGCCCAGGGAUUAGCCCGCGUAGGAUUAGGUAGUUGGUGGGGUAAAGGCUCACCAAGCCGACGAUCCUUAGCUGGUCUGAGAGGAUGAUCAGCCACACUGGAACUGAGACAGGGCCCAGACUCCUACGGGAGGCAGCAGUGGGGAAUAUUGGACAAUGGGCGAAAGCCUGGUCCAGCAAUGCCGCGUGAGUGAUGAAGGCCUUAGGGUUGUAAAGCUCUUUUACCCGGGAUGAUAAUGACGGUACCGGGAGAAUAAGCCCCGGCUAACUCCGU